rnacentral:rRNA from 1 species
UACGAAGGGUGCUAGCGUUGUUCGGAAUCACUGGGCGUAAAGCGCACGUAGGCGGAUGUGUCAGUCAGGGGUGAAAUCCCGGGGCUCAACCUCGGAACUGCCUUUGAUACAGCACGUCUUGAGUCCGAUAGAGGUGAGUGGAAUUCCUAGUGUAGAGGUGAAAUUCGUAGAUAUUAGGAAGAACACCGGUGGCGAAGGCGGCCCACUGGAUCGGUACUGACGCUGAGGUGCGAAAGCGUGGGGAGCAAACAGG